rfam:Selaginella moellendorffii unplaced genomic scaffold SELMOscaffold_2, whole genome shotgun sequence.
GUGGCAGUGUGUGUGUACUAGAGCUGUGCUUGCUCCCUUUGCAGCUCUUGAAUGGUACUACUGCUAGAUUCCUUGUGGGGAGCGUGGGCAGUUGUUUCGUAGGCGCUGCCAAUCACGAAUUUCAACAAUCACGCUCUCUAGAUCU